GGUCCCGUAGUGUAGCGGUUAGCACUCAGUACUCUGAAUAUUGCGACUGGAGGUCAAAUCUCUCCGGGAUCU
rnacentral:tRNA from 1 species